GUAAGAAGUGCUUUUCGCCUCCCGCCAUGAUUCUGAGGCCUCCCCGGCCAUGUGGAACUAUCAGUGCCCUACAGAAAGGCUACAGCCAGGUGCUGUGCCAGACCCUGUCAGAGCGGAACUCAGAAAUCACAUCCCUGAAGAAUGAGGGUGAGAACUUAAAGAGAGACAACGCUAUCACAUCAGGGAUGGUGUCAUCUUUGCAAAAAGACAUGUUAGCAAAGGAUGAGCAAGUUCAACAACUAAAGGAAGAGGUCAGUCACCUAAAAAGUCAGAACAAGGACAAGGACCACCAGCUGGAAGCCCUUGGCUCUAGAUGCUCGGUGCUAAAGGAAGAGUUAAAACAGGAAGAUGCUCACAGGGAGCUCAGGGAAGCCCAGGAGAAAGAGUUAAAAUUCUGCAGAACCCAAAUCCAAGACAUGGAGAAAGAAAUGAAGAAGCUUAGGGCGGAGCUGAGGAAGAGUUGUACUGAACAAAGCGUGAUCUCUAGGACUCUGAGAGAAAAAAGCAAGGUUGAAGAGAAGCUUCAGGAGGAUUCCAGAAGGAAAUUGCUUCAGCUGCAAGAAAUGGGGAACAGAGAGAGCCUCAUUAAAAUCAAUUUGGAGAGGGCAGUAGGUCAGCUGGAGCACUUCAGAAGUCAAGUCAUCAAGGCCACCUAUGGACGGGUGAAGCCGUUCCGGGACAAGCCCGUCACCGACCAACAGUUAAUAGAGAAAAUUACCCAGGUCACUGAGGACAACAUCAAUUUUCAGCAGAAAAAGUGGACCCUCCAGAAAGAGACCCAGCUGAGCAACUCCAAGCAGGAGGAGACCACCGAGAACAUCGAGAAGCUGAGGACGUCGCUGGACAGCUGCCAGGCUUGCAUGAAAAUAUCCUGUUGCAGCCAUGACCUGAAGAAGGAGGUCGACCUUCUUCAGCACCUCCAGGUGAGCCCACCUGUCUCGGGGCUCCAGAAGGUGGUGCUGGAUGUCCUGAGGCACGCGCUGUCCUGGCUGGAGGAGGUGGAGCAGCUCCUCCGGGACCUCGGGAUCCUGCCCUCCAGCCCCAACAAAGGUUACUGGGACUUUUUUUCUCACAUGGUUGCAUGACUCUAAAAUGUCGCGUUGAAUCUCAGCAUGAUGGGACAUCUGUUGAGGAAGUCUUCCUGGGUAUCUGGCCAAGUCUAUUCCCUUCUCUAGAACCCCCUGCUUCUCUGCUUGAGGCGUAAUUUUCCAUUAAAAAAAAAAAACACACACAUACAAGUGAGACACGAUAACUGAAGAAAAAUGAAACAAAACAGAGGCAAAAGGAAAAUUAAAUCGAGAUUAUGCAAAGUCUAAUUACGCUGUUUAACUUCCAAGGCAUUUUCCCAUGGAAAUAACCGCGUGAUUCCAGGCAAGUCACUUACCCUGUCUAUGCCUCAGUUUCCCUAUCUGUAAAAUGAGGCUAAUAGGGAGUACCCACCCUUUAGGGCUGUUGUGAUCAUUAAAAUGCAUGAAUAUAUGGAAAGUACUUGGAAUAGUACCUGGCACACAAUAGGAAUUACUGAAUGUUUAUUGACUUUUAAUUUGACAAAAAAAUAGUGUCACGUUA
rnacentral:sRNA from 1 species